rnacentral:rRNA from 1 species
AUUGAACGCUGGCGGCAGGCCUAACACAUGCAAGUCGAGCGAGCGGCGGACGGGUGAGUCAUGUCUGGGAAACUGCCUGAUGGAGGGGGAUAACUACUGGAAACGGUAGCUAAUACCGCAUACCAUCAGAUGUGCCCAGAUGGGAUUGGGUAGUAGGUGGGUUAAUGGCUCACCUAGGCGACGAUCCCUAGCUGGUCUGAGAGGAGAACCGGCAACACUGGAACGGAGACACGGGCCAGACUCCUACGGGAGGCAGCAGUGGGGAAUAUUGCACAAUGGGCGCAAGCCUGAUGCAGCCAUGCCGCGUGUGUGAAGAAGGCCUUCGGGUUGUAAAGCACUUUCAGAGGGGAGGCGUUACCCGCAGAAGAAGCACCGGCUAACUCCGUGCCAGCAGCCGCGGUAAUAC